CUUCACAAAGAUCAGUGGGCAAGAGGGAAAAAGGGAAACAGAAGAUGAAAGCGAGAAGGUGGAGGAUAAUUGUUUGAGCUGAUCCGGCGGCUUGAGAGCACAAGACAAGUCCCAUUAUUGCAUACCGCACGACGAGCAGGAUGAAGAGGGACAUAUCGCAGCGUCAGGAGGCAGUACCCACUCUCUGGAAAAGUCAGGGAACCUCUACCCUUGCCAAUACAAAAUCACUUCUAGUGGUGACAGAGGGUGAUGCCUGCGACCUAGGGGAAGUGAGGGCGAUUUGCCGCCACUGAUGUCUGCGGCCGUGCCCUGGAUGGCAUUGCAUUGAAAUCACAUGCGACAGUGAGCCCGUCCGCACCAUCCGUAUGAUUACGUAGAGUCUUAGCGGAACCGAAGCUUAUCUCGCCCGGCCGUCGCACUGUCCACUGGUGUUGGGGAGCCUAAGCCAUGCCGAGCGAUUUAACAUGUGGUAUCUGGCGAUGAUGGGAGAAGCUGCGAGGAGACCUGAAAUGCGGGGGCGGGGAGAGUGUGAGGCAGGGGCCGUGCUCGCAGGACUGAGCGCAUUGCUGCACCGCGUAUCUAUCGGCUGCUUCCCACGACGCGAUGAAGCCUGUGACGGGCCGGGGAUACAAUGAAGCUGAGCCACUGUUGUAUGACAGAAUGAACACACGGCGAAAAAAAAUUCUUGUGUCACUGUGUUUCUUUGGCCAGCUUCCUUUUAGAACAGUUUCUGAGUUUCGCGGUGUUUUAUCGAAGUAAGUUAGCACGUCGGAGGCGGCUUACUCACACGGAUUCAGUGCAACCAGUAGUUGUAACCUUCUGCGAACAGCGCUGUCCAUGAUGCUUCAUGCGGGAUAUUCCACUCCUUGGCUCGCAAGCCUGGUAUUGCAGUUGGCGCUGCGUGCAGUAAUUGUGCCCAAUGUUGCGGAACCCGCCACGACAGCUCGGGAGGGGGGGCGGAGGAGAGUGUAGACUACUAGCUGAUCUGCACCACCCCCGCGCGCACCGCUGCCGCCAAGAAACGGUGUGUGAUAUUUUCCCCUUGAAUUUAUUUGAAGAGAGGGGUCGAAUAUAUUUAAUACUGUAAGCAUGAGCAAAUGCCGAAGAAUGGUACAUCAAGCACCAGAUUUUCGUAUCUCCAUGUCUUUUUUUUUUCGUGCGCCGGAAUCUUGUGCAAUGCGAAGGAGAAUAACGCAACAGAGGUGUCGACUUGUAUCUUUUUCCCUUCGAAGCAUGGGCACUACUACAGCCUCCAUUGUUUUCUACCCGAAAAAGGAGUCUGAAAGGAUUCGGUUCGUUCAGCCACCAUCGCCACGGCCUGGAGCGAAUGCAGUGCAAUUUGAUGUGGCCAGCUUCUUCGUUUGUCCGCUGUGUAUACCGCAGCUUUUCUGAAUGAAAGCAGUCAACGUAUUUUUUUUUCCUGACCUCCAGCCGCCUUUAUAUGUUGGACCCCUGCGCUGACUCAGCGCAGCUUCUUUAUCCCUACGUACUCUUUUCUAAGCAGCGCUUCUGUCUUUUGAAAAAGCGAAAUGACAAAAAAAGGUUCUCCUGCCGGCGGGUGACUUCGUAGAGGACGACGAGGUCGUGGUUCCUUUUUAAGUCCUCGAGCAGCUGGGAGUAAUUGUACAUGUCAUGUGUCCUGGAACAAGAAGGGUGACGGUAUCGCGACCGCCUUUCACGACUUCACGGGCUGCCAGACAUAUAUGGAGGUGCGUGGCCAUAACUUCAUCAUUAGGAACCCAUUUGACGAAGUGAAUGUAGUAGAGUACCAAGGCCUGUACAUUACCGGUGAACGCACGCCAAAGUACAUUCGUCUAAGCCAGAAAGUUUUUCAGUUCACUCGCCACUUCUUUAACCAUAAUCUUCCCGUUGCUGCCACUUGUCACGGAAUCUAGGUUUUCGUCGCCGGAGGCGUGACAGAGUCGCGCACCUUAACGUGCUACCCUGCAGUAUCGCCGGGAAUGAUAAUCGCUGGAGGCAAGUACAAAGAGGUUCUUCCCACCGAGAUGGUCAAAGAUGGAAGCCUGAUCACGUCUCCGGCGUGGUCGGGUCACUAGGCGCUUCUUCGCGGUUUUUUUGUGAAAUGCUGGUGAUCAAGAUUAGCAUGUGAAACACAUGCGUGUGAGGGCGGGAUAAUGCCGCUUUGUAUGAAUGCUUUUUCGAAAAGCAUGGAACAAGUGGAGGAGUCCUUAUAAGCCUUCAUUUUCUCUUUUCCUUGCCGUCUAACGACAGCCUUUGCUAUUAUUCUCUCCAGUCGCUUUCUACUUUGCAAGAAUGCUGCACUUUCAGCAUCAACGUGGGUAGAGCUUACGCCAAGAAAACAGGCACCUGAGAGUUUUCUGAUGCUUUCGUCCAAAAAUAGGUCAUUACG
rnacentral:misc_RNA from 1 species